GCAAUAGAUGAAAUCUGAUUGUGACAUAUCAAUUGUAUGUAAAUUAGCAUUUCUGCUAAGAUUGUUUGAGAACAGUUUACUUUCAUAAUUGACUGAAAAAUGCUUCUUUCAAUUUUGCUGACACUAGUAAUGCAUCUGGCAAACUUUCCCUUCAGAGAAGUGUCAGGUUAAGCUUUAUCCCAGGUACUGUUUCAAACAAACAUAAACUCUAAUUUUGUGAGGCCCAUAUUAAUAAGUCUUUUUUAACUUUUUUUUUUUUUUGAGACAAGGUCUCACUCUCUCCCCCAGGCUGGAGUGCAGGGGUACAAUCAUGGUUCCACUGCAGGCUUGACAUCCCAGGCUCCAGUGAUCUUCCCACCUCAGCCUCUUGCAUAUCUGGGACCACACCCACAAUGCCCAGCUAAUUUUUUUUUUUUAAGUUUUUUGUAGAAACAGGUUUUACAUGUUGCCCAGGCUGGUCUCAAACUCCUGGGCUCAAGCGAUCCUCCCACCUAGGCCUCUCAAAAUGUUGAGAUUAGAGGUGUGAGCCACUGCACCCAGCCAGGCUUUACAAUUUUUAAAUAACUUUCAGCACAAAUACUUGUGAACCAGAAACAUUGGUUGAAAAUAUCUGUAACUUCUUUCUCAGCUCUAAAUUACUGAGAAGCAAAUGGAACCACAUGUUACAAAUAUUUCACAAGAACCAGUACCAUACUUUUAAACAUCUUGAUUAUGAUCUACUUGACAGUCAUAUUUGAGUUGUUGCUCUGUGUAACAUAAGAGUUGGGCUACACCUUCAGAAUAACUGGCAAAGCACCACCAACUGGCUGUGUCCUGAGAGGCUACCCAGCAACCUGGCUUUUUGUCUGAGUAUCAGACGCCCACUCUUCAUUGGACCAUAGAGGUUUUUCUCCCUAGUCCUCACCUCCAGCUCACUCCACCAAGUUAUUAGGAGUCUCUGAAAGAAACACGGAACACCCAGAGCAGAAAGCCAAUUUCUAAUUGGGCCAUCAGAUAGGGAAGAAAUGACAACUUCAACAAGAUUUCUUGUGAUCCUUGAGAGAUUUUCUAUGCAGGUACAGUCACAUUUAUGUCUUUUAAUAAUAGAGUUCAUCCAUCAUACAAGAUUGAUGAUCCCUGCAGAAGUUAAAAGUCUAGGAAUAAGAAAUUUGUGAAUGUGUUUUGCCACUUCAAUUGCCUCUACUGAUCAAGAAAGCAAAGACCCCCUAAACUUCAGGGCAAAAAGUGAAGAAUAAAUUUGAUUUGUGUUAGUGCCAAUACAGUUUUGAGUAUGUGUGUAGCUUUGAUGUGAUUAAAAACAUGGUCAUUCUUCUGGUUUAAAACAAUGAAAAUUAAUAAAUAGACUACUUACAACAAUUUUUUAAAAUCAUGAGCAUUUGGGUGUGUUAAA
rnacentral:lncRNA from 1 species